CCUACGGGUGGCAGCAGUGGGGAAUAUUGCACAAUGGGGGAAACCCUGAUGCAGCAACGCCGCGUGAAGGAAGACGGUUUUCGGAUUGUAAACUUCUGUUCGCAGUGAAGAAUAAUGACGGUAGCUAAGGAGCAACCCACGGUUAAUUACGUGCCAGCAGCCGCGGUAAUCCGUAGGUGGCAAGCGUUGUCCGGAAUUACUGGGUGUAAAGGGAGCGCAGGCGGGAAGCCAAGUCAGCAGUGAAAACGACGGGCUUAACUUGUAGACUGUAGUUGAAACUGGUUAUCUUGAGUGAAGGAGAGGUUGGCGGAAUUCCGAGUGUAGCGGUGAAAUGCGUAGAUAUUAGGAGGAACACCGGUGGCGAAGGCGGCCAACUGGGCUUUAACUGACGCUGAGGCUCGAAAGUGUGGGGAGCAAACAGGAUUAGAUACCCCUGUAGUC
rnacentral:rRNA from 1 species